rnacentral:rRNA from 1 species
CAUGCAGGCGGUCGGACGCGUUUCCAGUGACAGCGGGUGGCUUACCUACCCGAGUAUUGGAAAGACGGUUUGACUUGAGGACUCGAGAGGGACACGGAAUUCCGGGUGGAGUGGUGAAAUGCGUAGAGAUCCGGAGGAACAUCGAAGGCGAAGGCAGUGUCCUGGCGAGUGACUGACGCUGAGGUGCGAAAGCUAGGGGAGCGAACGGGAUUAGAUACCCCGGUAGUCCUAGCCGUAAACGAUGACCACCAGGUGUGGGAGGUAUCGACCCCUUCUGUGCCGGAGUUAACACACUAAGUGGUCCGCCUGGGGAGUACGGUCGCAAGAUUAAA